GAGUUUGAUCAUGGCUCAGAUUGAACGCUGGCGGCAGGCCUAACACAUGCAAGUCGAGCGGAUGACGGGAGCUUGCUCCUUGAUUCAGCGGCGGACGGGUGAGUAAUGCCUAGGAAUCUGCCUGGUAGUGGGGGACAACGUUUCGAAAGGAACGCUAAUACCGCAUACGUCCUACGGGAGAAAGCAGGGGACCUUCGGGCCUUGCGCUAUCAGAUGAGCCUAGGUCGGAUUAGCUAGUUGGUGGGGUAAUGGCUCACCAAGGCGACGAUCCGUAACUGGUCUGAGAGGAUGAUCAGUCACACUGGAACUGAGACACGGUCCAGACUCCUACGGGAGGCAGCAGUGGGGAAUAUUGGGCAAUGGGCGAAAGCCUGAUCCAGCCAUGCCGCGUGUGUGAAGAAGGUCUUCGGAUUGUAAAGCACUUUAAGUGGAGGAAGGGCAGUAAGUUAAUACCUUGCUGUUUUGACGUUACCGACAGAAUAAGCACCGGCUAACUCUGUGCCAGCCGCCG
rnacentral:rRNA from 1 species